GACGAACGCUGGCGGCGCGCUUAACACAUGCAAGUCGAACGGAAAGGCCUGCUUUCCCUUGUGGAUUGCGGGUACUCGAGUGGCGAACGGGUGAGUAACACGUGAGUGAUCUGCCCCCAACUUGGGUAUAAGCCUGGGAAACUGGGUCUAAUUCCCGAUAGGACUGCAGGGUGGUGCCUGUGGUGGAAAACGAUUUUCUAGUGGUUGGGGAUGAGCUCGCGGCCUAUCAGCUUGUUGGUGGGGUAAUGGCCUACCAAGGCGGCGACGGGUAGCCGGCCUGAGAGGGUGGACGGGCACAUUGGGACUGGGAUACGGCCCAGACUCCUACGGGAGGCGGCAGUGGGGAGUAUUGCGCAAUGGGCGGAAGCCUGAUGCAGCGACGCCGCGUGGGGGAUGACGGCCUUCGGGUGGUAAACUCCUUUCGACCGCGAGGAAGCCACCUGGAUGGAGGGGUGGUGACGGUAGUGGUAGAAGAAGCACCGGCUAACUACGUG
rnacentral:rRNA from 1 species